rnacentral:lncRNA from 10 species
CUUAAAUGUGUGCUGUGAAUGUCACUCCCCCAAUACCCACCCAUGCGGUUUAGAUAUUUGAACUUGUUUAGUGCUUUGCUGGCUUGGAAUUCUCUUUUUUCCAUUUUCUGGUCUCAGGACUUUUCCUCAUUUCUGAGUAAGAGAGAACAAAACUGGAAGUAGUAUAAAUUAAUAUAAGAAUUUUCUAGAGACAGUGAGAGGAUGAAGAUCAGUUUUUUAUAGGAAAGGCUAAAGCAUAUUAAUUUAUUUUACAACUAGCGAAGGAAGUCGGGGUUUUGAGGUAGCUGGGGGCCAGAGAGGGAGGGGAAGAGAGGGUAGAAGAAGAAAGCCUCCUGGGUGGGACUCUUUGUCUGCCGUCCACACUCCUGAUUGAAGUUGCUUCUUCCUGGCUCCCACUUGGCUCCUUUCUCUUAAAUUGUGCACGUGUCUGAAAUCAGAGCACCGUAUAUAGGAGACACAUGCCAGUGGGCACUGCAAUACUAGCUUUAAAGCAAUUCAAAAAGUAUUCAUUGAGCUCCAACUGUGUGCCAGGCCCUUGCAAAGUUCUGGAGGUUGAGGAGACAGUAACAUAGCCCCUGCUUCGAGCAGCUGAGUCUUGUGGGGGAAAACAGUUCAAUAAACACCUGGCAAUUAUUCUCUGUGUAAGUGCCUUGCUGGGCGUGUGGGCACUGUGCAGUGGGAGCAGGAGGGAUCAGCUGGGGAGCAGGCAGCGAGGCCGCCAUGCACUACGGGCAAGUCUGGGAUCCAUCAUCUCACCAAGUGCAAAGAGGAAGGUCCCAACUGGCUCCUCGCAUUGACCUGUAAAGAGUUCUACAUAUAGGGGGGCAUAUGUCUGCUGGGGAAUCCUUCUCUGGCUGCCAUCUCCCCAUCCCCUACCCCAGCAUGCACUUCUAGAUGCUCUGUAUUUAAUUUCUCUCUCAACAGAAACCUUUCUGUGGGCGAUUGUACAGUCCCACAUCUCCCCACUGGAAAUCUAGCAACACCCAGUGUGGAAGGGGCAAGGGCAGAGGAACUUGCCUGCACUGCUGCAGGAGUGUACACUGGCAUGAUGUCUGGUGAGUCUCCAUAAAGGCAAAGGUGCUCACGGCCCAACCAGCCCACCUGCAGCCUCUGCCCCGGAGAAAGCCAGUGCACAGGCAUGGGGUGGCCAGCCCAGGAGUGUGGUCUGCACCAUGACUGCAUGAGCAGAACCCUGCCCAUCAGCAGUGGAUCAGGACUGGACUGAGAGGAUACCAGUGCCGUGGAGUGCUCUGGGGAUUCCCAUUUAUCAGCCUUGACAGAGCUUUAAACUGUAAUGUGAAGAAAAUGAGCACGUUCUGGGACAAUAUGAACGGUAUCACAUCAUUUACAGAAAUAUUAAAAAACAAUAAAAUGAGACCUUAAAAUGUUUCCAGACAAAUCAAUAUGUAGUAAAAAUAUAAAACAUGUGUGACAGUGACAGUGAGUUCCUGAGAGCAGUUACCUUUGGGGAGAGAGGAAGGGGAGUGGGAUGGAGGCGAGGCAGGCAGGAGACUUCGAUGAUGUCUGUAAUGUCUGAUCCCUGCAAUGAGAAGGAAACCUUGCCUCCACUAUGGACAGAUCACUGGCUACUGACCCUCUCUCUCCUAUUUUAUAGUUAAAUUUCUCCAAACCACAGUCUAGAUAUUUUGUCUCCAUGUUCUCAAAUCUCAGGCAUUCCUCAGCCUGCUCUCCUCUGGUGUCUGGUCCCCUUAAGACAUGGAAACAGCUGUCACCAAGACCCUGAUGAUCUCCAGGUCACCGAAUCCCAAGGCAGCACAAACGUGGUGCAGUGGUGUGCAUGUGUGCACACUCACACUGUUUCCAGCAUAGAAAACGUGAGUGGAUGCAUCACCGGUUUUAGCAAGUCUUAGCAUUGUUUCUUACUUGCUUCAGAUUUCCUUUGCAAUCCCCCACCUUCUCCCUCAGCCUGUCUAACCCAUUUCCCUCUGAGAGCUUCUGCGGUCUGCUGCUUCUCUCUCCCACACUGCCAGCCGGCCCUGGCUACACCGAGGUGUGGUUCCUUCCAGGUCCCAGCAUGUACCAGCCCUAUGGCCUGGACAGGUCCCUAGCCACCCGUGCCUCAGUUUCCUUAUCUCAAGUUUAUUGGGAGUUGAAUGACCUACCACCUAUAAAACCCUCAGGACAGAGCAGACUGCAGAGGGCCUUGGGAUAUGCUUCUCCAUCCUCCUGGCCUGGAAGCCUUUCUUGCUCCCACCCUACUUUGUCAGCGUUCACCUGUCAUUCAGACUGGAUCCUGUUCAGACUCACCAGGAGGAUGUCUCUACUUUAACAGAACUGACAAGAAACAGUGAACCAC